rnacentral:rRNA from 1 species
UACGAAGGGGGCUAGCGUUGUUCGGAAUUACUGGGCGUAAAGCGCGCGCAGGCGGUUUUUCAAGUCAGUGGUGAAAGCCCGGAGCUCAACUCCGGAACUGCCCAUUGAAACUGUGAAACUUGAGAUGAGGAGAGGUGAGUGGAAUUCCCAGUGUAGAGGUGAAAUUCGUAGAUAUUGGGAAGAACACCGGUGGCGAAGGCGGCUCACUGGCUCAUUUCUGACGCUCAGGCGCGACAGCGUGGGGAUCAAACAAGG